AUUGUGAUUAUUGCAAUAAAAACUUAAUGAGAAGGGUAAAAUAUUGUCAGCUGUAAAUAAAAUUACGGUUACGUUUUCUUCUGUGACAAUGUGGCAACUAGUACAUUUGCAAUUUAAACCAAAGUGGAAUCGGAACAAUAUACGCAGUGCUGCCAUAAAUAGCGGAAAAUUCCGUCAUAUUUGAAAGGUUUUUGAAAAGAGCAGGAAUUGUAACUUUAACACUAAUUAAUCCAUAACUUACCCGUUAUUGCUUAAUAAAAUGUUUGUAAAAUUAAACUUUAAAUUAUUCGCAACACCUACCACUAACAAACCACAUAUAUUCUGAGCAAACAUACAUACGGAAAAGGUGUCUAUAUCGCAUCAUGACAAUGACUCGCAAUCGUUUCAAAUAAAAAUGUAUUUAAAAUAUUUUAUAUAUAUAAUUAACAUAUAUUUUUGUUCGUGUCUUCCAUAUAAUAAACCGAUUUGUAUUGAACAAAUAACAAAAAAGCUUUCGUACAUAUAUAAGGGAUAACUUAAAUACACAUCACAAGCAGCAAACAUAUUUACGGAUUUUUAGUAUUCAAAAAAAUAGCAUGCCCUAGAAAUCCGUAGGCAUAACCCGAAGUCAAUGGUUUGGAAAGUAUUUGUACACUGCAAUACAAGUCAUGAGGCGAAAUUGUAACUUAAAAACAAUAAAAUAUAUGUACAUACAUAUCUUAAAGAAUAUAAGGCGGAAUUACUACACAUAGUAAGUUACAUUAUCUUAAGAAGUGAA